UGGGACAUGUCACUUCUGUUCACAGUCCAUUGGCCAGAACUAAAUGCACUUGUCCAAGCAGUCACAAAAAAGGCUGAGAGACCAAGGGGAGCCCACGGACAAUCAGUGCCAAGGCGUGUUCCAUGGUGCUUACUCCAGGAGAAGCCAGCUUCCAUGUUGUGCAGAUGCUCAAGCAGUGCUUGGAGAGGCUCCUUGUGGAAAGGAGCCGAGGCCUCUGCUGACAACCAGCACCAGACAAUUCCAUUUUCUCCAACUGGGAGCUGUGAAGGAUCAAGUCCUACUUUCUUCAUUGAUACGGCAAUAUCAAAUAAAUAGUCAUAACACUCACA
ensembl:lncRNA novel transcript